rnacentral:rRNA from 1 species
UGGGGAAUCUUGGACAAUGGGCGCAAGCCUGAUCCAGCCAUGCCGCGUGUGUGAAGAAGGUCUUCGGAUUGUAAAGCACUUUAAGUUGGGAGGAAGGGCAGUUACCUAAUACGUGAUUGUUUUGACGUUACCGACAGAAUAAGCACCGGCUAACUCUGUGCCAGCAGCCGCGGUAAUACAGAGGGUGCAAGCGUUAAUCGGAAUUACUGGGCGUAAAGCGCGCGUAGGUGGUUAGUUAAGUUGGAUGUGAAAUCCCCGGGCUCAACCUGGGAACUGCAUUCAAAACUGACUGACUAGAGUAUGGUAGAGGGUGGUGGAAUUUCCUGUGUAGCGGUGAAAUGCGUAGAUAUAGGAAGGAACACCAGUGGCGAAGGCGACCACCUGGACUGAUACUGACACUGAGGUGCGAAAGCGUGGGGAGCAAACAGGAUUAGAUACCCUUGUAGUCCCUGAGCGGGCUGGCAAGGCGCAU